GGAAGGAUCAUUCACACAACGUCGUGUAGGUGCAAAAAGUGAGGGGUUGUGCGCCUCGCCUUCAACGGUGGACCCACUCCCUCCCACACACCAACACACAACAACACCGUUGCACUUGUAACUGUCUCGGCGCGGAGAGAGAGAGAGAGCGCCUCGGCGUCCCCUCUCUCUCUCUCUCCGUUGCCAACCCUCUAUCACAAAAAAACACAAAGAAUUUCUUUCACGAGAAAUCACAGUGCGCCUAACAGCGUUCACUCUGAAAUAGAGCCUCCGCCCUCUAAGAGCGCGGUUCCUCAAAUACACUCUAAACAAAAAAACAACUUUCAACAACGGAUGUCUUGGUUCCCGCAUCGAUGAAGAACGCCGCGAAAUGCGAUACUUAAUGUGAAACGCAAGGCAGCGCGAAUCAUCAAGGUUUCGAACGCACACUGCGCUCGUGAGUCCUCUCGCGAGUAUACCUGUUUGAGCGUCGUUUCAAACCCACUCCCCCUCUCCCUCUCCCUUCUCACACUGAAGGGAGGACGAGGCGCGGGUCUAUGGGCGUUCUCGCCAACUAUAGGUGUGGCGAGUCGUCUGAAACAGCGAUCCUUCUCUGGCUGUGAUCACACGGAGCACAGCGAACGUGUUGCGAGUCCCUCUUCGGAGGAACACGAUACGCGCGCUCGCCAAUGCUCUCCCGGUCUCUGGCCACUCAGGAGAAGAGCGAUACUGUGUCCUACGGACACAAACCUCACAGUUGCGACCUCAAAUCAGGCAAGACCACCCGCUGAACUGAAGCAUCUCAUUAAGCGGAGGAAAAGAAACUAACAAGGACGGCCCUAGUAACGGCGAGUGAAGCGGCCAAAGCUCAACUUUAAAAUCUGCGUCCCUCGCGGGCGCCGAAUUGUAGUUUCGAGGAGCGAUCUCGGCGACGACCCGGGCAUAAGUGUUCUGGAAGGGACCGUCAGAGAGGGUGAUAACCCCGUCUUUGGUCCGGUGGGCGGCGCCAUACGAGACGUUUCCGACGAGUCGGGUUGUUUGGGACUACAGCCUCAAGUGGGUGGUAGAUGCCAUCUAAAGCUACGAUAUCUGCGGGAGACCGAUAGCGAACAAGUAGCGUGAGCGAAAGAUGAAAAGCACUUUGAAAAGAGGGCCAAAAGAACCUGAAAUUGUUGAAAGGGAAGCGAUUGGAACCAGUGAUGCCCGCGCGGCGGUUCCCGCGGUCGGCCCUGUACAAAGGGGCGGGCCGUGGUACUCCGUCGCGGGGGCGGCCAGGAUCGGUUCCGGGCGCGGGAGAAUACCGAGCGGAAGGUAGGAGCAUUCGCUGCUCUGUUAUAGCCGAUCGGGGUUGACACCGCGUGCGGGACCGAGGGAAGCCCAGCAGAGCGCAAAGCACGCGCCUCGGCGAGGACCUCUGGGUCCGUCUGCGUGCUCUGGAUCCUGGCGAAUUGGCUCCCAUCGACCCGUCUUGAAACACGGACCAAGGAGUCCACCGUCCACGCGAGUACGCGGGUGGCAAACCCGAGUGCGUAAUGAAGGUGAAGGCGCCGUUGGGCGCUGAGGUGGGAACCGGCUCCUCUAUGGGACCGGGGCACCACCGACCGACCCCGAUUCUCUGAUGAAGGGUUUGAGUGAGAGCGUGGCCGCUGGGACCCGAAAGAUGGCGAACUUUGCCCGAGUCGGCUGAAGCCAGAGGAAACUCUGGUGGAAGGCCCUAGGGAUACUGACGUGCAAAUCGUUCUUGAAACUUGGGUAAAGGGGCGAAAGACUAAUCGAGCCAUCUAGUAGCUGGUUCCCUC
rnacentral:misc_RNA from 1 species